UGAGGAAUAUUGGUCAAUGGACGGAAGUCUGAACCAGCCAUGCCGCGUGCAGGAAUAAGGUCCUAUGGAUUGUAAACUGCUUUUAUUUGGGAAUAAACCUCCUUACGUGUAGGGAGCUGAAGGUACCAAAUGAAUAAGCACCGGCUAACUCCGUGCCAGCAGCCGCGGUAAUACGGAGGGUGCAAGCGUUAUCCGGAAUCAUUGGGUUUAAAGGGUCCGCAGGCGGUCUUAUAAGUCAGUGGUGAAAGCCUACAGCUCAACUGUAGAACUGCCGUUGAUACUGUAAGACUUGAAUUCGAUCGAAGUGGGCGGAAUAUGACAUGUAGCGGUGAAAUGCUUAGAUAUGACCCAGAACACCGAAAGCGAAGGCAGCUAACGAAUCUUAUAUUGACGCUCAUGGACGAAAGCGUGGGUAGCGAACA
rnacentral:rRNA from 1 species